AUAAGACAUGAAAAUAAAAAUUAAUAAAUUGAUUUGAGAACAAAAAUAUUAACAUGCAAUAGAGAUUGAUUCAAUUGAAAAAAGGAAAACAAUGGAUGAAUGGAGUUGUUGGGGGUUUACAAAUUCAUCUUAUCUAGACUCUCUUAUUUACUCCUCUUGAAUUAUUAGUUUAAUUAAUUAAUUGUCAUGCAACUUUCUUAGCCUACCCUUAACCCGAUCCCUCGGCGAAAAGAGCCUAAUACUAAUUACUGGCUUGCUAUCUGAUGAAGGUUGAAAAACAGUGAUUUUCAUAUGUCU
rnacentral:lncRNA from 1 species